rnacentral:hammerhead_ribozyme from 1 species
AUCUAGGUGAGAAGUCCCAAAUAGGACGAAAUGCGUGUCAUGGAU